rnacentral:lncRNA from 1 species
CGAAUGUACUCAUAUAUUUCAUCUGCACGCCAUACUAGUAUCUCCAUACUCUUGGUUAAGAGGACAACCAACUCAUAUGGCAUACAAUGAUCUACAUUUGAUAUUGCUAUCAUCCUAUUAAUAGUAUAUUAUUUGGUCGAGAACACAUUUAAGGACUAAAUGAUAAAUCCUCCUUUAUCAAUUAAAUAUAGUCUUAAGGACUUUAUCACAACACAGAAGUUCUAAGAAGAUGGUCAAAAUGUGAUGAAAAGACCAAAUAUUAUUUAUUAAUAAAAAUU